GAACCUGCGGAGGGAUCAUUACACAAAUUAAAAUAUGAAGGCUUCGGCUGGAUUAUUUUUAUCACCCUUGUCUUUUGCGCACUUGUUGUUUCCUGGGCGGGUUCGCCCGCCACCAGGACCACACCAUAAACCUUUUUUAUGCAGUUGCAAUCAGCGUCAGUAUAACAAAUGUAAAUCAUUUACAACUUUCAACAACGGAUCUCUUGGUUCUGGCAUCGAUGAAGAACGCAGCGAAAUGCGAUACGUAGUGUGAAUUGCAGAAUUCAGUGAAUCAUCGAAUCUUUGAACGCACAUUGCGCCCUUUGGUAUUCCAAAGGGCAUGCCUGUUCGAGCGUCAUUUGUACCUUCAAGCUUUGCUUGGUGUUGGGCGUCUUUUUGUCUUUGGCCUCGCCCAAAGACUCGCCUUAAAACGAUUGGCAGCCGGCCUACUGGUUUCGCAGCGCAGCACAUUUUUGCGCUUGCAAUCAGCAAAAAGGACGGCAAUCCAUCAAGACUACAUUUUUACGUUUGACCUCGGAUCAGGUAGGGAUACCCGCUGAACUUAAGCAUAUCAAU
rnacentral:rRNA from 1 species